rnacentral:rRNA from 1 species
CACGUAGGGGACGAGCGUUGUCCGGAUUCAUUGGGCGUAAAGAGCUCGUAGGCGGUUUGUUGCGUCGGCUGUGAAAUCCCGAGGCUCAACCUCGGGUCUGCAGUCGAUACGAGCAAACUAGAGUGUUGCAGGGGAGACUGGAAUUCCUGGUGUAGCGGUGAAAUGCGCAGAUAUCAGGAGGAACACCGGUGGCGAAGGCGGGUCUCUGGGCAACAACUGACGCUGAGGAGCGAAAGCGUGGGGAGCGAACAGG